rnacentral:misc_RNA from 1 species
AAAGUCGUAACAAGGUUUCCGUAGGUGAACCUGCGGAAGGAUCAUUACCGAGUGCGUCCAUUAAUUUGGACACCUCCCACCCUUGUGUAAUUUUAUGCUGAUAAGCAGCUUCGGCGAGCCGUUUUUGAAGUUUGGGGUUACUAGUAGCAACAACUUGGAAAACGUCGGCCCUAAAAAGCGGAUUUGCGCUCGCCGAAGGACCAACUCUUGAUAAUUUGAAGUCUGAUAAAACAAACUUAAUAAAUCAAAACUUUCAACAACGGAUCUCUUGGUUCUG